CGAGCGGGUGAGUCGCGCGUGAGUAGCCUGCCCCUGUCUCUGAAAUCAGCGAUGGAGACGACGUCUAAUACCGUAUACCAUACGCAACCGCGUGGUUAGCGGUUGGAAAGUUUUUCGGUCUGUGAUGUACUCGCGUACUAUCUUGUUGUUGAUGAGGUGAUGGCUCACCAAGGCGAUGACGGGUAGCCGUGCUGAGAGGACCAUCGGCCACGCUGACUACUGAGACACGGCACCACUACUCCUACGGGAGGCAGCAGUGAAUAAUAUUGCACGAUGGGCGCACUGCUGAUGCAGCGACGCCGCGUGAGGGAUGACGUUCUUCGUGUUGUCCUCCUCUUUCAGCAGGGAAGAAGCGAAAGUGACGGUACCUGCAGAAGAAGCACCGGCUAACUACGUGCCAGCAGCCGCGGUAAUACGUAGGGUGCGAGCGUUGUCCGGAAUUAUUGGGCGUAAAGAGCUUGUAGGCGGUUUGUCGCGUCUGCUGUGAAAAUCCGGGGCUCAACCCCGGACUUGCAGUGGGUACGGGCAGACUAUGGUGUGGUAGGGGAGACUGGAAUUCCUGGUGUAGCGCUGAAAUGCGCUAUAUCACGAGGAACACCGAUGGCGAAGGCAGGUCUCUGAGCCACUACUGACGCUGAGAAGCGAAAGCAUGGGGAGCGAGCAGGAUUAGAUACCCUGGUAGUCCAUGCCGUAAUCGUUGGGUAGUAGGUGUGGGUCUCAUUCCACGAGAUCCGUGACGCAGCUCACGCAUUAAGUUCCCCGCCUGGGGAGUACGGCCGCAAGGCUAUCACUCAAAGGAAUUGGCGGGGGCCCGCACAAGCGGCGGAGCAUGUGGAUUAAUUCGAUGCAACGCGAAGAUCCUUAGCAAGGCCAGACAUAUGCCGGAAACAUUCAGAGAUGGGUGCCCCGCAAGGUCGGUACACAGGUGGCACAUGGUUGUUGUCAUCUCGUCUCGUGAGAUGGUGGUAUAUGUCGCGCCGCGAGCACACCUCUCGUUAUAUGUUCACAGCAUGUUAUGGUGGGGUCUCAUAAGAGUCUCGCGGGCUCAUCUCAGAAGAAGGUGGAGAUGAGCUCAUCUCCUCAUGCCCCAUAUGUCGGGGGUCUCACACAUUACACAAUGCGCGGCACAAAGGUGUGAGAUAGCGCAAGGUAGAGCGUAUCACAAAAACGCUGUCACAGCUCGGAGUGGUCUGCGCAUCUCGACCACAUGAUCUGAGAGUCUAUAGUU
rnacentral:rRNA from 1 species